rnacentral:lncRNA from 1 species
GCCAUAAAAAGGAAUGAAUUAACAGCAUUUGCAGUGAACUGGAUGAGACUGGAGAUUAUUAUUUUAAUUGAUGUAACUCAGGGAUGGAAAACCAAACAACAUAUUUUCUCACUGAGAAAUAUGGUGCAGUGUAUACUGCUCCAGUGAUGGGUGCACCAAAAUCUCACAAAUCAUCACUAAAGAACUUACUCAUGUUAACCAAAUACCACCUGUGCGCUGAUAACUUAAGGAAAAAUAAAAUAAAAUAAAAUAAAAAGAUGUUUUUGGUGAAUGGCAUAAAAAGCCAUAUGUACUUUCUUAGAAGGCAUCACAUGUUGUUAAAAUUUCUGGCAUCAUAUAAAAUUACGAGCAGAAUUAGAAAGAUCCUCACUCCAUUAUUAUUUUGGUAAAUAUUAUGCGUGUAAUGCAUAUAAAUUGCAGAAAAAUUUAGAAGCUUUAGCUAAGUAUGAAUUUUUUUCCCUCAGAGAUGGGUCUCAUUAUAUUGCCCAGGCUGGACUUGAACUCCUGCCCUCAAGUAAUCUUCCCACCUCAGCCUCCCAAGUAGCUGGGACCACAGCACUCAACUUAGCUAAUUAUAAAUAAAAAAGAAAAUCACUAAUUUUCCACCACCCAAAGCUAAUGGCAUAAACCUUUUUUGUUUUUUUUUUUGAGACAAAGUCUCACUCUGUCACCCAGACUGGAGUGCAGUGGCACGAUCUUGGCUCACUGCAACCUUCGCCUCCCUGGUUCAAGUGAUUCUCCUGCCCAGGCUUUCCGAGUAGCUGGGACUACAGGCGCAUGCCACCACACCUGACUAACUUUUCUAUUUUUAGUAGAGACGGGGUUUUGCCAUGUUGACCAGGCUGGUCUUGAACUCCUGGCCUCAAGUGAUCCACCCAUCUCAGCCUCCCAAAGUGCUGGGAUUACAGGCGUGAGCCACUGCACCCGGCCAACAUAAACAUUUUUAUGUGAAUCCUCCUAGAUGUAUUAUGUAUAUCAUGUUAAAAUGAGCUUUCACACUAUUAUUGAUACAUUCUUGAUAUUAGUUGAGAUAUUGUAUAGCAAUAAGUUUUCAGCCACUUUUAAAGGGGGAUUAAUUUAUGUAGACAUGAAUCUAUUCUUUAAGUUUCUCAAAUAUAUUAUUUGUUGUGGAAAAGAGUCUAUUUCUAUCACCCAUCUAUCUAAUCUAGCUUUUUUUUUUUUAGCUAGCUAGCUUCCCUGGGUCUGGACCCCUUCCUUUAUUUUGGGAAGUCCCAUGGCUGAACCUGACUUUCAUGGUAGAAGCUGAAAAUACCAGAUACAUGUUCCUUAACCUGGCUUGCAGUUAGGGUCCAGGGUCCAGAGUGCAACAGCUGCAGGGGAGGUGAGCCCACCAAUCUAGUCUGUGACCUAAUUUUUGCUCCUGUCCUGGCUGCUGCCUAGUCUCUCUUAUUCCUGUCUAUUUUCUUAGCCUGUAUCUCCGUAUUUUGGUGAUUCUGAAAACUACCCAGAAAUCCUUUAGAAAAUACUUUCCUUCUUAAAUGAGCCAGUCUUUUUGUUACUCACAACUCAGAACGCCGAUCCAUAGAGCACUCUUCUCAGUUUCACCCAGAAAAUAGAAGAUCUAAUUGUCUUCAGUAGGAUAGUGAGCCAUCUGGAUUUUAACCCUCUCCCAGGGGCCUAGGAAUUUAGACCCAGAAAGAAUUCUGGAGAUGGUUUUGUCAUCUGCAUAGAUUGAGGACAAUCAUGCACUAUAGUGGAAAGAGCACCAGGCUCGGAGCCAGAAGAAGCCCUGGAUUCAAGGUCUUACUGUCACUCUUAGCUGUGAGAUAUUGAGAAAAUCAGUCAAUUUCUUGGGCUAUAUUUGUAUGUAUAUGUAAAUUUGUGUGUAUCUGUCUAUGACCUCUAGAGUGAGGGACUUAAACUUGAAUUUCCUCCGCAUUAGAAGAUCUUUGAUUUUAAUCAGAUCCAGAAACUUUAGACUUCACAUUAUAGCUCCUAAUUCUGAAUUCUCAGUCCUAGUAAUUACAUAAUGCUAAGUAAGUAUAAAUAAUAAUUUGAAAAUCAAAGAAAUAAAAAGGGAAUCAAUCUAUAUUCUUCUUUUGCAAGUUUAAACUCAUUUGACCUUUUGAUGAAUCAGUAGCCCCACAGAUACCCGACUGGAAUAAUUUAUAUGGAUGAAAGGACAUUUACGCUCAGGUUCAUAGCUAAACACAUGAAUUACGCUUUCACAAUUAUAAAUUAUUUGUUUCCUCUAUGGUAGCUUCUUACGUUAUGAAAGAAAGCUCUUAAAUGUUAUUAAUAAGUAUCUGUGUUACCUGUGAUGCCUUUCCCUACAGUCUCUCAAGGACUCAAAAUCUUAUCUCAGGUGAAACUUUGAAGAUAUAAUUGACCUGUACGUUCAUAGUUAAGCACAAGUCAGUCAACGUUAUACUAUCCAGUUUAGAUGUUUGUGUAAUGAGUACUUUCAUCUGCUUCCUUUGAUGUAUAACCGAUUAGUGACAGCAGCAUAAAUAUUCAUAGCAUUUUCCUACUGGACAGAAUCUAGUCCAACUUCUAUGUUUUACAGAUGAGACUAAAGAGACUGAGAAAUUAAGUGACUUGUCCAAGAUCACGUAACUAUCUUCAAGUUGAGUGGUAAAUCUAAGACUAGAACCCAGGGCUUAUUAUACCUUAAGCAAUAUGAUGUCUAAGGCAGUGUUUCUCAAUGGCUGUUGAGACCCAGAGCCUUGUUCAUAGUGGGUACUCAAUCACUAAAUGCUGACUGUCAAUAGAUUUUAGUACAGUGUAAUUUCUGCUAUGACAUGUGUACUGAGGAAUCAAAGAAAAUACUCAGGAGUUAAAUUUUUAAAAACAGAAUUGAAUAUUUUAAUUCUGGGAGACUGUGAUUUAUUUUGGUACUUAGGUUUUAGAUUCAGGCUUCAAGUUGCUAAAAUCUCAAACUGUUAAUACUAUAUUGAAAUAGAUGAUAACUGACCCAAUGUCUUUCAUUCUGAAAGCUCAGGUUGGUGUAGGAUGAUAGUGACAUUGCUUGUCUCUUUAAAUAACUAAUAAGAAUAUUAAUGUUGAUGUAAAGCAGGUGGUGGGGCCAUUUAACGUGUGCUCUGAUUAACAGGCCAUUGCUAUUCUGUCAAGGUAUUUGACAUACACACACCGUGGCUCAGUGAUGAUGCUCUCUUCUUGUUUGGGUAAGGAUUAUUUGCUUAGAUUAUGAUCUGAAGUCUUUAUAGUGUAUUAAGUCACUUAUUUAAAUGUGGCUAAAGCAGAAUGGCAAAUCUUCUUCAACAGUGUGUAAUGACCUAGUUAAAAUAUAAUUUAUCAGAUGAGAUUGAUAUGUUCUGACAAUAAUGCACAAUCGAGUUAAAUUAAAGGAGAACAGAGAUAAAAUUCUGCGGGGGAUGUGUUCAGAAAUAUGUGUGUAGAUUUAUUUUGGAAUCUUGGUAAUUAAGAUGCAGCUGAUCUGAUUUAUUAGACCUCUUCUGCCUCCUUUCAUAUUUCACUGUCAUCUCUUCCCAAUUUUAGGAUCAUCUCUCAUUUUCUGCUUUAGUGCACUGACAUUUUCCUUCUCUCCAGUGAGAAGCUAUUGGACCUGUUUUCAUACACAAAAAAGUAGUCUUUUUACAUCUUAAAGUUUGCAGUUAGUUCUCUAGAGUUAGAGGUCCUAUUUGAAUAACAUAAAUUGAAAAAAAUAUUCUUUGAUACUUGUAGAUCUUGAGUUUCCAUAGUCUUUUGGGGGUAUAUUUCUGGCAAAAGUGAAGUGGCUUUGAAUACUCUACAGAGAGUACUCUGCUCUGAGAUUUUUUCACUGUGGUAUUACUCUUUAACAGAGUUUGGUUUGUGACAGGGACCUUUCCAUGUUCAGUACCUACAAGGUACUGUGAACAUUAUUUCUACAUUGGUGUUAAUUAAGAAGACAGGAGAGUAGCAGAAAUGACCUGGGAUAAACAGUGACAUCUAUGGAAGAAGGUAAAAAUAAGUAUGCUUUUUAAUUGCCAAAAAAAGCGUUGCAUUGUGUGCAGAAUAUUUUCAACAAAUGUUCUGUUCUCUAACAUGCCAGUUACUCUAUUGUUUCAUUACCUGAUACUUCUGUGAGGUUACAGGACAAGAAAAUUUAUAAUAAGGAUGCCCUGAGGCAUCGUGAGAUUACUAAAUCCCUUUUAAGCAAUUGGUUUCUAAUUUUAAAAAGUGAGUGGAAACCUUUAAAAAAUGAAAUCAUACAUGAAACCACCAUAUUAAACAGAAAAAGCAGAUGUGUUUGCUGCCUGUGUGGAUUGUAGUAUUGGAGGGGCUGAGCCUGGCUUACUUGGCCUCCCUGUAUUAGCUCUCCCCAUGCCUGGAUUUUCUGGCAUAAUUUUCAUGUAGCAUAUUUUAAAAAUCAAAUUCUAAUUUGGAAAAUAUUAAUCUAUACUUAAUGUAGGCUGAGAUUCUCUAUUAACUAAAAUAGAAAGCUCAUUUCCAGACCUUACUAGAUAACAGUAUAUUAACUGUGCAAGGCAGAUUUUAUAAGUAGGUUGAGUAAAUGGCUUCAUUUAUGAUUACAUUUGAGGGGUGUCAAAGGUCCCUGGGAAAAAGUAUCUGCUUUACAAGAUUAGAGGUCACACUGGAAAGAGAAUUCUGAAAAGACCCUUGAUUCAAGUGGCUUAAGUAAUUACUUUAUCUGCAUAACAUAAUACAUUAGGGAGAAAUUCGACCCAAUUCAGCAUGAAUGUGAUGAAUGUCUAUGAUACAUGAAGCACUGUAUGUAUCUUUCAGGAAUGCAAAGAUGAAUAAAACAGAUCUUGCACUCAGAAAGUUUACAGUUUGAUAGUGAAAUUCAGUUUAGAGGAAUAUGAGAUAAUCUAUCUAAUUCAACCGCCACAUUUUGUCAAGAGGAUCUGUUACUGUAUGACUUACCCAGGAUCCCACAGCUGGUUAUGACACAAACCUGACAAUUGUUUGGCUGUUCACCAACUUUUCCUACAUCUCCAAGAAAAAUUAAAUUCAGUUCUUAGUGUUUUUCUUAUUCCACAUUUAAAAUAACAAAAGCAAACUACAGAAGAACGAUUCUUGAAUAAACCCCAUGCACUCAUCCACAACCAACCUAUGGCAGCUUCUGUGCCAUCCAUUCCCCUCUCAGUCCAUGUUAUUGAAUGAAAUCCCAGACAUCAUGUCAUUUAAUUUGUGAAUACUUUAAUAUGUAUCUGUAAAAGAUAAGGAUUCUUAUUAGAAAUACAUAAGCCCAAUACUGUUGCCACUCUUAAAAAUCUAACAGUAGUUUCUUAAUAUCAUAAAUUAUACUAAUAAUAUUAAAAUUCCCAAUUGUCUUAUGAAUGUCAUGGAUACAUUUUUCUUUAUUUCCCCCUCAAAAUCAGGAUCCCAGCAAGAUCCUCACUGCUAAUUGGUUGACACAUUUUUAAAGUCUUUUAAUCUAUAGGUUCCCCUCUGCGUCCCUUUUUUCUUGCUAGUUUUUGUUUGUCCUCUAGAGUUUUCCAAAUCUGAUUAUUCUUGCUGAAUUUCUGUGACGUAGUUCAGUAGUUCACUAUGUUCCUCUGUCCUUGGUAUUUUCUGCAAAUUGGUAGUUACCUCUAGAGGCUUUAUCAGAUUCAAGUUAGAUUACUUUGGUGAGACUGCCUCACAGAUUGGACUGUGGUCAUUCAUCUUCCAUAAGAAGACUCAGACACAGAAUAUCUGGUUCUUCCUCUCACUCUCUUUCUGAAAAGGGCAACAAUUGAUGGCAAUCAGUGCCUAGACCCUUUAGUUCAUUAGGGAUUGUAGAAUAGUAAUAUUCUAAUUCUAUCAUUUUUACAAAUUUACUGUCUAGAAUACUUUUUUAUUUUUUAUUUUUAUUUUUUUCUAUAGGUUUUUGGGGAACAGGUGCUGUUUGGUUACAUGAGUGAGUCCUUUAGUGGUGAUUUCUGAGAUUUUGGUGCACCCAUCACCCAAGCAGUAUACACUGUACCAAAUUUGCAGUCUUUUAUCUCUCACCCCCUUCUAUCCUUUACCCCCUCCCCCCCGUGUCCCCAAAGUCCGUUGUAUCAUUCUUAUACCUUUGCAUCCUCAUUUGGCUGGAAUAUUUCUGUAAAGAGAAACUUUCUAUAUUCAUUUGUUUUCUGUUGCUUAUAACAGAAUGACUCGAAUCAGGUAAUUUAUAAAGAGAAGGAGUUUAUUUCUUACAGUCCUGGAGGCUGAGAGGUCCAAGACCAAGGGGUCACAUCUGGUGAGGGCCUUUUUGCUGGUAGAAUCUCUGCAGAUCCCUGAGAUGGUACAGGGCAUCACAUGGACAGGGGGCUGAGUUCUGUCCUCCUCUUCUUAUAAAGCUACCAGUUCCACUCACAUAAUAGCCCAUUAAUCCAUACCAAUUAAUUCAUUUGCCCUUUAUUCCAUGAUCCAGAAAUGGAUUAAUUUAUUCAUGAAGGUCCUCAUGAUCCAAUCACCUCUUAAAGGCCCCACCUCUCAGUAUUGCCACAUUGGGGACUAAAUUUCAACAUGAGUUUUGGAGGGGACAUUCAAGCCAUAGCAAUUCCCUCAUUCACUAUUUGCUGGAGUUUGUGUAGUAAAAGCAGGAUCAAUAUUUGGUUCUUUCCCUUUAUUUACAAGUUUUCAGAAUAAUGAGUUGGUUUCUUAUCAUCCCUCAAGAGUAUCAAUAAUGACUCCCCACUUCUUUCUUCAUUAUUGAGAUGGUUAAUUUUAUAUGUUAACUAGACUAGGCUAAGGGAUGUUCAUAGGGCUUGUAGAAGAUUAUUUCUGGGUAUGUCUGUGAGGGUGUUUCCAGAAGAGAUUAGCAUUUUAAUUGGUAGACUGAGUACAGAAGAUUGCGCUUACCAAUGUGCGUGGGCACCAUUCAAUCUAUUAAGGGCCUGAAUAGAAAGAAAAUGUGGUAGGAGGGUGAAUUUUGCCCUCUGUUUGAGUUGAGCUGGCACAUUGAUCUUCUCCUGUGCUUAACAUUAGCACUCCUGGUUUGGACUAGAACUACACCACUAGCUUUUCUGGGCCGCCAGCUUGCAGAUAGCAGAUUGUGGGACUCCUCAGCCUCCAUAAUUAUGUGAGCCUUCAUAAUUAUGUGAACCUCCAUAAUAAAUCUCUUUCUCUAUAUAUCUCUUUAGUUCUGUUUCUCUGGAGAACCCUAAUACAAGUAUCAUUGGGAACUCAUAGGAUUUAAGUGAAUUUGAUGUGUUUUAAUCCAUUGCAGUUAUUAUUCUUAUUCAUGUACAAAUUUCCCCAUCUUUGGUCAGCAAGCCCUUCUUGACUCCUAGGUCCUCUCGACUUGACCUCAGUAGUUUUUGAUAGCUUUCCUGCUAUCUGUCAAUAAAAAGAUUUUUCAGGUUUAUCUUUUAUAUUCCCUUCUCAUGUAUCAAAAUUUAAGAGGAAAAUACAAACAUUUCUUAAUAAUUUUCCUGACAAGGAAUGGUAAGGCUGAGUUUCAGUGGUUUCUUCAUGGUUAUUACCUUUACAGGACAAACCCUCAGGCACUGGUUCUGAAUUUGAGUCUGCACUACACAGAAGCAUAGCUACCUGGGACUCCUCCUACCUUCAUUGACAGUGUUCCAGGAUCUUGUCUGAGUCACUUUUGCCAGCCUCAGGUCUUGUAAUUUCUGUACUGAAUAAAUCUUUCCUCGUUGCUUGAUUUUUUAGCAGUAAAAUUCUUCAAUAGGAAGUGAUUCAUUGUACACAUCCUGUCCUGUAAAUGGUCAAUUCGGCAAAUGCCUUUGCUUCUCUUUUUAAAACUGUCAAGUUUCUCUGACUAUGUAUUUUCCCCCAUCAUCUCUGUUAUGAAUUAUGUUCCCCCAAAAGAGAUGUCCCCAAUAUCUCAGAAUAUGACCUAUUUGGAAAUAAGAUCAUUGCACAUGUAAUUAGUUAAAUUAAAGUGAGGUCAUAUCAAGGUAGGGUAGGCCACUAAUCCAAUAUGUUUGGCAUCCUGAUAAGAAGAGGGAAGAUAAUGUGAAAAGAGACACACAGGGAGAACCCUAUGUGACCAUAGAGGAAGAGAUCGGAGUGAUGCAGCUACAAGCCAAGGAACGCUGGCCACCACUAGAGCUAGAAAGAGGAUUCUCUCCACAGUCUGAGGGAGAAUAGCCUGCUAACACCUUGAUUUUAGACUUCUAGCCUCCGUAACUGUGAGAAAAUAAAUUUCUGUUUCUGUAAGACACAUAGUUUGUGGAACUUUGUUAAAGUAACCCUAAGAAAUGAAUGCAAUAAUCUUUGCCAGUAAUAUACUACAUGGACCAGUCUAACUACAGUCAUGUGCCAUACAAUGAUGUUUUCAACAAUGUUCUUAUAAGAUUAUAAUGAAGCUGAAAAAUUCCCAUUGGCUAGUGAUGUCAUAGCCAUCCUAAUGUUUUAGUGCCAUGUGUGACUCAUAUGUUUGUGGUGAUGCUGAUGUAAAUAAACUGGCUGCUCUAGCAGUUGUAUAAAAGUCUAGCACAUACAAUUAUGUACGGUACAUCAUACUUGAUAAAUAAAUGACUGUAUUAGUCCGUUCUCAUGCUGCUAAUAAAGACGUACCUGAGUCUGGGUAAUUUAUAAAGGAAAGGGGUUUACUGGACUCACAGUUCCACAUGGCUGUGGAGGCCUCACAAUCAUGGCAGAUGGUGAAGAAGAAGCCAAGGCGUGUCUUACAUGGCAGAAGACGAGAGAGGUGCAGGGGAACUGCCCUUUGUACACCAUCAGAUCUUGUGAGACCUAUUCACUAUCAUGAGAACAUCACAGGAAAAAUCUACCUGCAUGAUUCGAUUACCUCCCACCAGGUCCCUCCCAUGACAAAUGGGGACUGUGGAAGCUACAGUUCAAGAUGAGAUUUGGGUGGGGACACAGCCAAACCAUGUCAAUGACUGUGUUACUGGUUUGUGUAUUUAAUUAUGCUAUACUUUUUAUUAUUAUUUUAUUGUUUUGAUUUUUGUUUUUUGCGACAGGGUCUCACUCUGUGUCCCAGGCUGGAGUGCAGUGGCAUGAUCAUGACUCGCUGCAGCCUCAAACUCCUGAGCUCAAGCAAUCCUACUGCCUGGCUAAUUUUUUAAUUUUUGUGGAGAUGGGGUCUUGCUAUGUUGGCCAGGCUGAUCUCCAGCUCCUGGGCUCAUGCAAUCAUCCUAUUUUAGCAUCCCAAAGUGUUGGGAUUACAGGCAUCAAUCACCGUGCCUGGCCACUAUUUUAGAAUGCACUUCCUCUACGUGUAAAAAAAGUUAGGUGUACAACAGCCUUAGGCAGGUCCUUUAGGAGGUAUUCCAGAAAAAGGCAUUGUUAUCAUAGGAGAUGACAGCUUCAUGUGUGUUAUUGCCCCUGAAGACCUUUCAGUGGGAAAAGACAUGGCGGUGGAAGACAGCGAUAGUGAUAAUCCUGAACCUGUGUAGGCCUAGGCUAAUGUGUGUGUUUAUGUCUUAGUUUUUAACAAGAAAAGUUUGAAACAUAAAAAAAAAUAAACAAUUUAAAUAUAGAAGAUGACUUACAGAAUAAGGAUAUGAGGACAUGAGAUAUUUUUGUAUAGCUGUACAAUAUGUUCAUGUUUUAAGCUGUGUUAUAUAAAAGAGUCAAAAAAUUAAAAAAAUAAAAGUUAUAGAAAGCUAAGAUUGGUUUAUUAUAAAAUUAAGAAAAUAAAUUUAGUGUAGUCUAAGUGUACAGUGUUUAUAAAGUCUACAGUAGUGUACAGUAAUGUCCUAGGCUUUCACAUUCACUCAACACUCACUCACUCACUGACUCACCCAGAGCAGCUUCCAGUCCUGCAAACUCCAUUCACAGUAAGUGCUCUAUACAGGUGUACCACUUUUUAUCUUUUAUGCUGUAUUUUUACUGUACCUUUCUUAUAUUUAGAUAUGUUAUAUACACAAAUUCUUACCAUUGUGUUACAAUUGCCUAGAGUAUUCAGUAUAGUAACUUGCUGUAUAGAUUUGUAGCUUAGGAGUAAUAGGUUGUACCAUAUAUCCUAGGUAUGUAGUAGGCUUCCCCAUCUAGGUUUGUGUAAGUACAUAUUAUGUUCAUAUUUCUCAGAGCAUAUCCCCUUUGUUAAGUGAUGCAUGAUUGUAUUGAGUCAAUAAUAGAGGAUGUUUUCUAAAAAUGGUGAUUUAGGUUUUUUUUCAGAUUAGAAAAUAAAUUGUUAGAAUUUCUUAGUUUGCAUUUAGCAUAGAGAAUCAGAGAAUUUGGGUCAAAUCCUUAUUUAACUGAUGGGGAAAGUGAAGCCUUAGGGAGGAAGGUGGCUUGCCCAAGGUUACAUAGGUUAUAUGUGGGAGAAAUAGAAUCAGAACUCAGAUUUCUGAAUGCAAAGUUUAAAGACUUUUCCAUUCCAUACAUUUUUCUGUUUAGCUUUAAAUUAUUUCUCUUUGCCUCUUUCUUCUUAUCUUUGCAGUGAAAUUUUAAUAACAUGAAAUGCAGUAGGCUUAGUCAGUGGAGUAUAGCAUGGAGAGGAAAGGAUAGUCCAUACUUAUGCCAAAAAAUAAAUUCUUUUAUUAUAUUUGCACUAAUUUUGUGAAAGUGGAUUUUGGUUUUACUGGAACAUUUUUGUAAUCCCUCUGUCUCUAGGGGUCAGUGUGGCUUAAAGAAACUUUGUUCUACUUUGUUUCAAACUAUAUUCAGUUAACACUUAAUUGAAGUGACUUUAAUCAAAGGUGACAAUAAAAUGGUGCCCCAGGGGAACAGGAAUUAAUUCAAAAUUACAACCAUUAUAAACUUUAACAUAUACAAUAAUAUUGAUGUUGGCACAUGGAACUUUUCACUGAGCCCAUAGGUUUUAACGACUGGAAAUAAUUGAACUAACUCUUAUACCUUUUAGCAUGUAAAUUAUUAAUUUUUUUGUUUAAAAGAUAUAUGACUCUAUAUUAGUCUGUUUUCUUGCUGCUGAUAAAGACAUACCUGAGACUGGGAAGAAAAAGAGAUUUAAUUGGACUCAACAGUUCCACAUGGCUGGGGAGGCCUCAGAAUUAUGGUGGGAGGUGAAAGGCACUUCUUACAUGGUGGCAGCAAGAGAAAAUGAGGAAGCAAAAGUGGAAACCCUUGGUACCCAUCAGAUCUUGUGGGACUUAUUCACUACCAUGAGAACAGUAUGGAGGAAACCACCCCCAUGAUUCAAAUUAUCUCCCACUGGGUCCCUCUCACAACACAUGGGAAUUAUGGGAGUACAAUUCAAUAUGAGAUUUGGGUGCGGACACAGAGCCAAACCAUAUCAGACUCCAUUCCAGAUUCAUUUUAGAAAGAGAUGUUUGUGCUUCUUGUUUGAAUGAACAUUUAUGACUAGUCACAUUUGUUCUUCAUAAAGACAUUUUGAAGCAGAUUAUAUAUGAUGAAUAUAUAUGAUGUAUGUAAGAUGAAUAUAUAUAUUUGUAUACAUAUAUUUCAUCCUUAAGUGGCACUUAAUGAAGAAGAGGCUUCGUGAGCUACUCGAGAUGGAAAAUUUUCAUGGGAAAAAAUGGAAUGUCAUUGAAAAGUUUGGGAAAUCUUUGUGACAACUAUCAACUUUCUUAUCCAAAAAGCUUUCAAAACUCUUUUCCUCUCCUGUUGCCUCUUCCUCACUCUUUCCUUUCUUAUCUUAUUGGGAUAGCGUAAGGUUGAACUGCUGACAAAAUUAAUAGGUUUCGUGCCAUUAAUAAGAACUCUCAGAUGAGUUUGCCUAUUGAAGUGCUUAUCAAUGAACACACAGUAAUACUGAGACAAGGAUAGGAUAGGAAGGGAGACAUGUUUCCUGAGUAUCUCUUUGGGGCCAGGCAGCUGCUAAGUAAGAAUGUGCCCCUCCCUGCCACCAUCUCAACAGUUCUGCUGUUGUUUGUUCCCUUUAUUGGAGUUCCAUGGGCGAUUUUAUUUGUAGAAAGAAUCCAAUUGUUAAGAUUCAAAAACCCUGUAUAGUAAUUACAGACAGUAAAUUAUAAGUAGAGUAAGGGUGGCUGAAUAGAAGCAGCAAACAUGCUUAAGGCAAUGCAAAGCAGUAGCUAAAUUCUGAUGAUAAGGCAAGAGAAAGAAAAACCAAAAGUGUGGACCAAGAACUUCAUAGCAGUGUGGGGCCAUUUUGUGUAUGGAGAACUGACUCUGCAUACUUGUAUGGACAUUAUUACCUUUCUCAUCAGUUAAUAUUUAUUGAACUCUUAGGGUGUGCUGGGCGCUGUUGUAAUUGCGGGAGAUACUAAGAAAUAUUUAGCACAGAUUCUGCCCUAAAGUUUGGUUGACGUAGAAAGAAAAUGUGUCAAAAAAAAUACCCAAGUUACUACAGCCUAUAUGAUAUUGGAAAGUACUAGAAAAGUUCAGAGGAAGGAGGAAUUAUGGAAAGUUGGAUUGGUGUGGAAAGGAAUCACAAGCAAGUACAACAGAUACUGAUAGCUUUUUAUCAAAACUAUUUCAUCUUAUCCCUGGGCCCACAACUUCCCUUGCCAUCUUAGAUGUGGCCACGUGAAUGAGUUCUAGCUAAUGGAAUAUUAGCCAUGCCCUGUGCCAUUUCCAGGCCUAAUUCAUGAGGUCCUCUCAUGCAUGUUCCUCCAUACACUUUCUCUUUGUGCAGCAGUGACAUUGGAAGCCAAGGGUUAAAGAUAGCAGAGCCAUCAGAUGGAAGAGCCGGGGUGCCUGGGUUCCUGAAUCACCAGUUGGAGGAGAGCCACCUGACUAACAGGAAUACCCAGUUUAGACUUUAUGAGAGCAAGAAAUAAACUUCAAUUGUGUUAAACAGAUACAGUUUGGAUCUGUGUCCCCACCCAAAUCUCAUGGCGAAUUGUAAUCCCCAAUGUUGGAGGUGGGACCUGGUGGAAGGUGACUGGAUCAUGGGGCCAGAUUUCCCCCAUGUGCUGCUCUAGUGAUAGUAAAUGCUUGAGAGAUCUAGUUGUUUAAAAGUGUGUGGCACCUCCCCCAUCUCUCACUUGGUCCUGCUCCUGACAUGUAAGACGUGCCUGCUUCCCCUUUACCUUCCACCAUGGUUAAGUUUCCUGAGGCCCCCCAGGAAGCCAAGCAGAUGCCAGCAUCAUGCUUCCUGUACAGCUUGUGAAACCAUGAGCCAAUUAAACCUCUUUUCUUUAUAAAUUACCCAGUCUCAGUUACUUCUUUAUAGCAGUGCGAGAAUGGACCAAUACAUAAACCAUUGAGAUUUUGGUGUUUUUCUGUCAUAGAGCUUAUGUUACUUAACUAAUACAGAAAGUGAGACUAGAACAGAAUGUUGAAGGAUAUUUAGAAUAUAGACAGUCACAGAAAAUGCUGAGGGCAUCUCAGACAGGAAGAAUUAGAUGACCAAUGUCAGGGAGAAGGAAAUGCAACACAGGUGGCUGAAAUGGAAUAUUAAAGGAAAUUUGAAAGUUAGGUAGUCUCAGUUUAUGGAGGCUAAGGCGUUUGCACCCAACUUUAUUGCCGAGGUAAAAAUUGGAAAGAUAAAGGGAAAUAAUAAUAAUACUAUACUUUACCAAAAUAAAAGUUUAUUGUUUCAGUGGUGGUGGAGGCAUGUUAUAGGAAGAUUCAUAUGGAAGUGGUGUUUUGGAUGGAUUAGCUAUUGAUGAGGUAAGAGUGAAGGCAGAGAUAACUUCCAGGAGAAUGUUGGUGAAGACCUGAACUGGGUGAUAGUGGAGGGGAUAAAAGCAAAGGCUGAACAUUUGAGUCUUUACUAAGUGUGAAUGUGGUUGACUAACAGUGGGAGUACUGAGAAAGGAAAGAAGGAACAUAACUUCCAGGUCCGUAUAUUAGCUCAGAACAGUGAGUGAUCCUUGUAAUUAUGAACUUGAGGCAUGAAGAAAAGAGAGUAUAAUGUUUAUUGUUGUCUUUAAGAAAACAAGGUGGUAUUAUAAUAUGUUGUAGGAAGCUCAUCAUCAAACUAGUUAACAUGUAAACACAUCAGCAUAUGGCAUGCACACAAAUCCAUCUUAUCUUCCUGGGCACAAAGGAAGAGUAUAUUUCCCAGGUCAAAACAUGUGGCUGAGUUCUAACCAGAAGAGUAUGGAUGGAAUGCUAUAUACCACUACUAGGUCUGUCCAUAUAUCCCUGGGUUUGAUUCCCCGGCCUCUUGAAGGCUACAUGUUUCAAAUGAUGAAUUGCAAUAUGAAAGAAUCCUAGAUCCCUGAGUCACCACUUGAAUGAGAGCUUUCCAGAAUAGCUACCCAAACACAUUAAACUGUGAUUUGAGAAAGAAAUACACUUUUAGUGCCUUAACCUCUAAGAUUUUAGGGUGUAUUUAUUAUAGUAGUAUAGCUAAUCUCUUUCUGAAUAAAACACAACUUUCAGUUUUUCAGCAAACUUUUAUUGAGAAUCUAAUAUAUUCAAAGGAUGAGAUAUUUCUAAAAAUCAGACUUUAUUUAUAACAUCUCCUGGUGGAAUAUCCCUAUGACAGCACUGUUCCAAUGGAUUUUUAUCAUCUUGAAAUUCAUAAAACUUUGAAGUCAUCCAUCUCCUGUUUACUCCCAUCCUCCCAUUAUUUGAAUGUUAGUUAUUAAAUUCUGGCCUUUGUGUCAGUUUUUAAAAUAAAAAUGUUGACAGCAUAUUUUGACUCUGCCUUUUAUUAAAUUACUUUUUGACAAAACUCUUAACAGAUGAGAAGAGCUUGAAAUAAAGAAAACUUAACUCAAAAUAUCUUUUCUGAGAUAGCUUUGGGGGUGUUAACAGAUAUAGUUUAGAUCUGUUUUAUUUUUUCUUUAUUUGACAGCCAGUCAACCUAAUGAUGUCAUAACAUCUGCCCACAUACACUGGAGAUUUGAGCAGAGAUAAAAAACCUUGAUCACCUUGGGAAUUCCAGUUCUGCAACAAGAAGUUAAAUAACCUGAAGAUUUUACGGAAAUGGAUUUAUAUCUCCUCUCUCUGUCAGAUCUAUCUACCGUCACAUUUGAAUGUCAGAGUCUGAUGUAAGCAUUCCUAAAACAGUAAUUUUCAACAUACUCUUAUAUACUCAUCAUUAUUUUUAUUGAGUACUGUCUGAAUAAGCAGAUACCAUUCUUAGGAUGAAAACUGUAAAAAUCUAGAAGAAAUGGAUAAAUUCCUCGGGAGAGUAAUAAAUACACUCUCCCAAGACUAAAC